rnacentral:rRNA from 1 species
UACGUAGGGGCCUAGCGUUGUCCGGAUUUAUUGGGCGUAAAGAGCUCGUAGGCGGUUCGGUAAGUCAGGUGUGAAAUCUCCACGCUCAACGUGGAGGCGCCACCUGAAACUGCCGUGACUCGAGUCCGGUAGGGGAGUGUGGAAUUCCCGGUGUAGCGGUGAAAUGCGCAGAUAUCGGGAGGAACACCAGUGGCGAAGGCGACUACCUGGCCCAUUCUUGACGCUGAGGCGCGAAAGCUAGGGGAGCGAACGGG